rnacentral:rRNA from 1 species
GGUGAACGCUGGCGGCGUGCUUAACACAUGCAAGUCGAACGAGAAGUGAAGACGGAAACCUUCGGGCGGAAGGCUUUAUUUCGAGUGGCGGACGGGUGAGUAACGCGUGGGUAACCUGCCUCAUACAGGGGGAUAACAGUUGGAAACGACUGUUAAUACCGCAUAAGACCACAGCACCGCAUGGUGCGGGGGUAAAAACUCCGGUGGUAUGAGAUGGACCCGCGUUCGAUUAGCCAGUUGGCGGGGUAACGGCCCACCAAAGCGACGAUCGAUAGCCGAUCUGAGAGGAUGACCGGCCACAUUGGGACUGAGACACGGCCCAAACUCCUACGGGAAGCAGCAGUGGGGAAUAUUGCACAAUGGGGGAAACCCUGAUGCAGCGACGCCGCGUGAGUGAAGAAGUAUUUCGGUAUGUAAAGCUCUAUCAGCAGGGAAGAAAAUGACGGUACCUGAGUAAGAAGCCCCGGCUAACUACGUG